rnacentral:lncRNA from 1 species
AUAAAAAUUCCCGAAAGGUAAAAUAUGCUUAAUGGAUAUUUGCAUAACGUGGCGGAAUGCGCGCGUCGGAACGGUCACAAAUAAGCGGCGAAGGGGGAUAUUUUUACAAAGGGUGCAGCGGGAGUCGCUAACGUGACGUUCCGUCGUUUUAUGUAACGAUAUUUAGCAACACACAUACACAUACACCACGACCAUUUGCAUAGGCCCAUCGGUCGGAUGGGUCGCUCCAGUAGAGGGAAGCACCGUAGAGCCCGACGUAAGGCGGAAGCCGCAAUACAUCCCGCAUCUACUAUUGCGACAAAGGCAUCAAGGUCUUACGUCCCUCACGUACGUGACGAAAGUGAGUGUACAGUUACGUCCCUAAAACCUCCUUUAACCCGUGCGCUCCUCAAUGCUUUUUAUCCUUCCGCCGAUAGACUGGCACGAUAGGAUGUAAACGCCAUAUUUGCCAGCAUACUGGUACGUAUCGGAGCAAAACAUGAACUGAUGGAGUCAUUCACACGGGAUACGAAGCCGAUAAUAACAUUAAUAUACAUUUAAGCGAGUAAUGGCGUCACUUCCGUAACGGUAGCUUUAAAUGAUACGUACUUUGCGGUUGAUGUUCAUCUCCACUGUCGUGAUCCGACAUGUUGGCUUCCCUCCGUAAAGCUUAACUCGAGCCUCGUUCUCGACGUCAUAAAUAAUUAAUGUCCGUCGACCAAUCGCGUUACUCCAUCGACUGAAUGUACGGCCUUGUUCCGCCACACGCCGCGAUUGUUUCAUUUCUAAUUGCAACUUUACUACGUUUUAAAUUUUUUCUAAUAUUUCGUUAUCGUCGUUUAUUUGGCCGAGUGGCUUCAAACAUCAUCGAAGUUGAUUCGCAUCUCCAAAAUAUUCUCCAUACUAUUGUUCUAUAUGCUAUUAGGGGGAGUAUAGAAAACGCCCCGUUUGCCUUACGGUUUCUGAUUGGUCGAAGUUUCUAUCACGUGGUUGGAGUGGUAGUUCAUUCAUUCUAUACGACCAUUUGGAUUCCAAAUUUAAAAGAAUUAUAGCUUUUUGAAUCUUUCGCCGUUUUCAGAAGAUUUAAGUUGUUUCGAACGCAUUUUUUUUUUAAUCGGGAAAAACGGCGCAUUAAUUAUAAUUCGGCAAUUACGUUUAAUUGUUUAUUUAAAAUUCCGCAUUUUUCG